UUCGAUCCUAGCUCAGUUGAACGCUGGCGGGAUGCUUUACACAUGCAAAGUCGAACGGCAGCACGGACUUCGGUCUGGUGGCGAGUGGCGAACGGGUGAGUAAUGUAUCGGAACGUGCCUAGUAGCGGGGGGAUAACUACGCGAAAGCGUAGCUAAUACCGCAUACGCCCUUCGGGGAAAGCAGGGGGACCUUCGGGCCUCGCACUGGCUGACGGCCGAUAUCGGAUUGGCUAGUUGGUGGGGUAACGGCUCGCAGGCGACGAUCCGUAGCUGGUUUGAGAGGACGACCAGCCACACUGGGACUGAGACACGGCCGAACUCCUACGGGAGAACGUAGUGGGGAAUACGGACAAUGGAAACCUGAUCCAGCCAUCCCGCGUGUGCGAUGAAGGCCUUCGGGUUGUAAAGCACUUUUGGCAGGAAAGAAACGGCACCUGGGAUAUUACCCCGUGCAACUGACGGUACCUGCAGAGCAGCACCGGCUAACUACGUUGCCAGCAGCCGCGGUAAUACGUAAGGGUGCAGCGCAUUAAUCGGAAUUACUGGGCGUAAAGCGUGCGCGAGCGGUUCGGAAAGAAAGAUGUGAAAAUCUAGAGAGCUUAACUUUGAACUGCAUUUUAUACCGAGCUAGAAGUGUAUGGGGGAGGUGGAAUUCCGCGUGUAGCAGUGAAAUGCGUAGAUAUGCGGAGGAACACCGAUAGCGAAGGCAGCCUCCUGGGAUGCUUUUACUGACGCUCAUGCACGAAAGCGUGAGGCAAACAGGAUUAGAUACCCUGGUGGUCACGCCCUAAACGAUGUCAACUGGCUAUUUGGGGCCUUCGGGCCUUGGUAGCGCAGCUAACGUGAAGUUGACCGCCUGGGGAUUACGGUCGCAGAUUAAACUCAAGGAAUUGGGCAAGGGACCCGCACAAGCGGUGGAUGAUGGAUUAAUUUGAUGCAACGCGAAAAACCUUACCUACCCUUGACAUGUCUGGAAUCCGAAAGAGAUUUGGGAGUGCUCGCAAGAGAACCGGAACACAGGUGCCGCAUGGCUGUCGUCAGCUCGUGUCGUGGGGAUGUUCGGGUUAAGUCCCGCAACGAGCGCAACUGCCAAUCAUUAGUUGCUACGAAAGGGCACUCUAAUGAGACUGCCGGUGACAAACCGGAGGAAGGUGGGGAUGACGUCAGUCCUCAUGGCUGCCUUUAUACAGGUGAGACUUCACACGUCAUACAAUGGUCAGGACAGAGGGUCGCCAACCCACGAGGAGACAAUCCCAGAAACCCGAUCGUAGUCCGGAUCACCAGUCUGCAACUCGACUGCGUGAAGUCGGAAUCGCUAGUAAUCGCGGAUCAGCAUGUCGCGGUGAAUACGUUCCCCGGGUCUUGUACACACCGCCCGUCACACCAUGGGAGUGGGUUUACCAGAAGUAGUUAGCCUAACCGUAGGGAGGGCGAUUACCACGGUAGGAUUCAUGACUGGGGUGAAGUCGUAACAAGGUAA
rnacentral:rRNA from 1 species